CGGGUGAGUAACACGUAUGGAACCUGCCCUAUGCAGGGGGAUAAGCGGAAGAAAUUCCGUCUAAUACCGCAUAACACCAUUUGGAGACAUCUCCAGGGGGUCAAAGGAGGCGACUCCGGCAUAGGAUGGCCAUGCGUCGCAUUAGCUAGUCGGCGGGGUAACGGCCCACCGAGGCGACGAUGCGUAGGGGUUCUGAGAGGAAGGUCCCCCACACUGGUACUGAGACACGGACCAGACUCAUACGGGAGGCAGCAG
rnacentral:rRNA from 1 species